GAUGAACGCUGGCGGCGUGCCUAAUACAUGCAAGUCGAGCGAACGGACGAGAAGCUUGCUUCUCUUAUGUUAGCGGCGGACGGGUGAGUAACACGUGGAUAACCUACCUAUAAGACUGGGAUAACUUCGGGAAACCGUAGCUAAUACCGGAUAAUAUUUUGAACCGCAUGGUUCAAAAGUGAAAGACGGUCUUGCUGUCACUUAUAGAUGUAUCCUCGCUGCAUUAGCUAGUUGGUAAGGUAACGGCUUACCAAGGCAACGAUGCAUAGCCGACCUGAGAGGGUGAUCAGCCACACUGGAACUGAGACACGGUCCAGACUCCUACGGGAGGCAGCAGUAGGGAAUCUUCCGCAAUGGGCGAAAGCCUGACGGAGCAACGCCGCGUGAGUGAUGAAGGUCUUCGGAUCGUAAAACUCUGUUAUUAGGGAAGAACAUAUGUGUAAGUAACUGUGCACAUCUUGACGGUACCAAAUCAGAAAGCCACGGCUAACUACGUG
rnacentral:rRNA from 1 species